rnacentral:misc_RNA from 1 species
UGGGAAGAUACGAGUGCAUGAAAGGCGACGGAAGACAUAUCCUUGUUUAUAUACAACUUUAUUUCAAACUGGCCCACUAGGUUCCCCUGCCAGAAGAGGCAGUCUAGCCAUUCUUACUUAGUAACUGUUCGCACUCCCGUCUAAGCUAAGCUGUGUGGCUGCUGUCAACGGUACUGCUACAGGUGCUUUGUACUAAUACUGCUACCCUCGCUACUAUCUCCACAACGGCUCCCACCCUUACCAUUUCUACUGCUGCUGAUUCAACCAACACCACUGCCACCAUUGCCACUACUGGUACUGGCUACUUAUACUCCAGGUCCCGACACUCCGUCCUUAACGAACCGUACCCAGCAGCACCUCGGCGAAAACUUUUCUCAUCAAAAAAAACAAAUUCCUUUCGAGUAAUUUAACUCGCUGAAUCUUCCACGAUUUCCAUAACCUCAACCAUUCAACUUGGUGUCCUUGGAAAUAUCACAUCAUGUCUGGGACUCCGUCCAAGAAUGGCACUUCGGAACCCAUGUUCUUUAUGCCGACAUCCAGUCCUGUGAAGCCCCGUGUUAAAACUUCCAUGUUUAACGUUGUUGACGAUUGUGAUGAGAACAAAUCGCUCCAAUUCGGAGACAAUUCCCGGCGUAAAAGACAAGUUCCCGUGGAAAAGAAAACGCCAGAUAGCCCUGCCAACGGCUCCACUGUGACAUCACCCUUUUCGAUGCACGAAGAAAUUCAAGAGGACAUUCCUGUCCAGGAAAUAAGCACGACCACGGCUCAGCCUAUAAUUUUUUCAGAUGGGAGUGCGCAAUCUCGCUUGUUUAUCAAGGGAGGCCGUAUUGUCAACGAUGAUCUCUCCUUCGAUGCUGACAUCUACAUUGAAGAUGGAAUUAUCAAACAAAUUGGCAACAAUCUUGUCAUUCCAGGUGGUUCAAGAACUAUUGAAGCCAAGAACAAACUGGUCAUUCCAGGUGGCAUUGACACUCAUACGCAUAUGCAGUUGCCGUUCAUGGGGACCCAAGCCGUUGAUGAUUUCUACAGUGGCACAAAAGCUGCCCUCGCAGGAGGAACCACAAUGAUCAUGGAUUUUGUGUUGGACCCUCGAGGCUGUUCACUCUUAGAUGCUUAUGAGAAGUGGAGAGAUUGGGCUGAUUCUAAAGUGUGCUGUGAUUAUGGUCUCCAUAUUGGCGUUACAUGGUGGGAUCCUCAAGUGGCCAAAGAAAUGGAUCUCUUGGUGAAAGAGAGAGGUGUGAAUUCAUUCAAGAUGUUCCUUGCUUAUAAAGAUUCUUUCAUGCUGGAAGAUCAUGAGUUGUAUGAAUCUUUUAAAGUUUGUAAAGAACUCGGUUCCUUAGCAAUGGUUCAUGCUGAAAAUGGUAAAAUUAUAGCUGAGAAAUCUAAGGAAUUGAUCGCUAUGGGUAUCACAGGGCCAGAAGGACAUGAAAUGUGUCGACCUGAAGAGGUUGAAAAAGAAGCUGUACAACGUGCACUCACCAUCGCCAACCAGGCCAACUGCCCACUGUAUGUGGUUAAAGUUAUGAGUAAAGCAUCUGCUGAAACAAUAGCAGAUGCUCGCAGAUCAGGAAAAAUAGUUUUUGGUGAACCAAUAGCAGCCAGUUUAGGUACGGAUGGAACACAUUAUUGGAACAAAUGUUGGCGCCAUGCUGCUGGUCAUGUUAUGAGUCCACCCCUAAGAGCAGAUACAUCUACCCCAGGUUAUUUGAUGGACCUUUUAUCAAACAAUGACCUACAAUGUACAGGUACCGAUAACUGUACAUUUAAUGCUGAACAAAAGGCAUUGGGUAAAGAUGAUUUUAGACGCAUACCUAAUGGAGUUAACGGAGUAGAAGACAGAAUGUCUGUGAUUUGGGAAAAGGGUGUGCAAUCUGGGAAAAUGGAUCCAUGUAGAUUUGUGGCAGUAACCAGUACCAACGCAGCUAAGAUAUUUAAUAUUUAUCCCCAGAAGGGGCGAAUCGCCGUAGGUUCAGAUGCUGAUCUUGUUAUUUGGGAUCCAAAUGCAACUCGUACAAUCUCUGCUAAAACUCAUCAUCAGGCCUGUGAUUUUAAUAUUUUUGAGGGUAUGGUGUGCCAUGGAGUACCAUUGUAUGUCAUUAUGGGAGGACAUGUCGUCUUAGAUGAAGGCCAGCUUAAAGUCUCUCAAGGUCUUGGUCGUUUCAUUCCUAUGCCUCCCUUUGCUGAAACUGUAUAUGGACGUGUUGAAGGUCGCGAACGUGCAAGGAUGCCCAAAAAGGUUGAUCGUGAGCCGUACACUGGAACUGUUGUUGAAAUUAUGGCUCCUGAGGAAUUUGACACAAGGAAGUCGGACAAUCCUAUUCUACAGGAUCCUCAACCAUUCCAUGCCCGACCACUUACUCGAAGCGGUGCUCGCAACCAGCAAGACUCUAGCUUUACAUUGAGUGCCAAACCGUUUGCUGGACCUGAAGUUUGGACUCACUGUCUGCGUUCCGCUAUUUGUUGCAAAGUCUAGAACAAACUUUUAUUUCACCAUAAAUUGCUGUCAUUGACCAUUAAAUGCUGAAAUAGGUGCUCAGUAUGAUGACGAUCGUCCCAAACGCUCGAGUACCAGAGUGAGCAGACCCCCUGGGGGCAUGUCUGACAUAUUCUUAGGUUAAACAAAAACAAACAAAUCUACAAUCGAGUGAGAAGAAAAAAGUACAAAUAAAAACAUGACUAAUGUAGAUUUCUUUCUCUUUAAAUAUUUUUUCAUCACAUAUUUAAAAUCCCCCCUCAACAACAACAACAACAACAAGACAAAAAUGCUUAUUUUUCUUUUUGUAUUUUGUCCUAAAUUUAUGAGAUAGGUAUGUAAAAUACUAUGUAUGUAUAUAUACAUAUGUACACACGCAUAUAUGUAUGCAUACAUAUACAUGUGCCAUACAUGCACCCAUCACUUGUACGUGUAUGGAAGGGUAUAUUUCUAUAUUUCUGUGGGUAUGCAGGUAUGUGUUGCAUGGAAUAUAUAUUCUGUAUUUGUGGAGUUGGGGCAUCAUAAGUUAUUCAAAAAUGAAGAUUACAAACCUUUAAAAACCAAAAUUAUCUCGAUACUAAAUUUAUUUGCAUUUACAUUGGCUGUCUUUUGGCAGCAGUGUUUCGUUUUCAGUCGGUUCUUAAGUUACCUUACUUGAGACUUAGAAGAAAUUUCUUUAAUUGAAUAGUCACAGCAAUUAUUCUAAUAACAACCAAUUUAAGUUAACAAUUCAAAUUAACAAUCAGGAGGGAAAAAAAAAAACAAAUUCUAUUACUUGAAUUAAUUACCGAAACGCAUUUUUUGAGUUCUAACAUUAAAAUGCUUUUGAAAUCGAGCGUGCGUGCAUGCACGUGCCUAUCAUGUUCAGUGUCCAGCACCUUCAUUUUGUCAUGUCUCCAUGCUAUUAUUUUAUACAAAUUGAUUUUCUGUGUCAAACAAUUAUUGUUGAAUCUUCAAUAUUAUCAUAUUUUUGUCUGAAUUUAUUGCAGUUUGUCAUUUUGAUAUCUCUCUCUCUGCUAUGCUCUCACUCUGCUCUCUGUAUGCCAAAAUGGAAAUCUAUAUUGUUUAGUCAAACGUUGCCUAAUUAUUGAAUAAACUAUUCAUCAAACAGA